rnacentral:piRNA from 1 species
AAUAGUCUUCAUUGUUUAUAUUC